UGUGUUUUAAAGGGUUAAAUAGGUUAAAUGAGAUAGAAACAAGUUAAAAUGAGUCUUAAACAUGCUAAAUGGAUUGGGUCACAACUUGAUCUAAUUAUUAAAUAGGUUAAAAUGAAUUAAGCAGAUCAAAAGAUCUAAACCCAAACCCAGUCCAUUUAAUAAUUGAGUUUAGAUAGGUGGACUUGUUUAUGAACCAAAUCUGUUUAUGAACCAAAUCUAUUUCUACCAGAUCCGCAAAUGCUUAGAGUAAGUCAAUUGCGGGUUGGGUUGCUCCACUCAAAAUUAACAUCGAAUUGGCGGUUCUCUAAAAAAAUUAGUUCCCACAAAAUAAAAUAUACAUCAUCUUCUCUGUAGAUUUCAUGAUCAAACACCCCAAAGCACUGGAGAAUCACAACUCUUGUCCUAAUGUCUCACAUAAAUGAGCUUUAAUUUGACACUGAAUAAUGAGGACUAGAUUGCAAACCCAUACAAUAGGUCAGAUGGUGUGAUUAUAAUUCAAUGCCAAUAAUACCUCCAAAUACUAGCGGCACUAAGGUUUUAGCAUACUAGAUGAGAAAAGAAGGGUGAUUAAAUUGAGAAAUGAUCCCUGAAACUAACAAUCUGGAAUUAAAACCCAAUACAGACCUUCAACAUUUGAACACGACGAUUCAUGUUUAAAAUAAAAAAAAUCAACGAUGAUGUAAUUAUUUAUUGCGCUUAACAGCACGCCUUCCUUGGCCUUUCUUCGGUGGACCCUUUCCACGACGCUUCAACAUUUCAAGUUUAGCCAACCGCCUGUAAUGAAAAAAAUACCCAUUCAUAUCUAAGCUAAUGAUGUUGACUAAAUUUAUUACGAAUGCAAUUUCAACCAUGUUAAGCAUUUUCAGGACUAUAAUGCUUCUAGGAAGAUGCAUCUGAUGACAAGUCUCAAAUAUUCUAAUUAUGUACAGCACCAUCUCCAGAUUUUCUGAGAAACAAACAUUUUAAAUUAAAAAAGAAAAAAAAGAAAUAUUGACAAAGUCUGCCACAUAACAAAUCACAGUUUUGUUAGUUAUUAUACAAAUCAAAGCGGCUCAAAGUUUCAUUCAUAUACAAAUCAUUGAAAUAUUAUACAAAUCAAACCAAAGGUUUUGGUUAUGUUUCUACUACAUUUUGUUUGUUAUCUUAUCGACAUGCUUAUUGGCCCUACUUGCCAAAUAAGCAAGUAAACUACAAACCCAACAUAACAAAGUUUCUUUUCUUUUCUUUUCAUUUCUUUUUUCAAACUAUGAUGGGGACAAUUUGAUCUUUUCUUUAAGAAUGAUGCAAAAACUACCUAAGAACACUUGGGUCAGCUUUCUCUAGAUCUAAUCCACAGAUUCCAUAUGGAGGAGGGGUACCACCACAGGACUAUACCCAGCUUGCAGGCUGCAUAACAAAGUUACUAACUAAAUAGUUGCAUAACGCUCAACAAUCACAUAUAGAGAUGGUAACAUUUUCCUCUUAAAUCAUGCAGGUGCGGUCAGGAUAUCCUUAUUGACAGUCUGAUAUGAACUUCAGCAAUGGCUAAAAUAACAAGUGCCUAAGGUAAGAAUAACUACAUAUCAUGUUCCUUAAUUUAUUCAGGAACUUGCGGGUUCAACCUGAUGGAAUUUCCAUUGCAAAUGCUAUGUAGUAUGGCUUGAUAUUUUGGCGAACAAAAAGUGAAUAUUUCUGAAAUUUUCAGUCUAUGCUCAAAAUGCCUCAAAGAUAUCAUUAAACUAUAAAAGUACUAGUUGAUUUUUUUUUUUUUUUUGGCUGAAAACGGGUUCUCAUACAGUACGUGUACGAAUACACCCAAUAAAGUCAAAAAACACUAGCUCACGGAGAGCCAGUGGCAACUCUCCCUCCCCCAACCAAAAGGUGUACCCUGAAUGAAAGUACUAGUUGAUUUCAACAUCUGAUUAUUUCAAGAAAACUAAAAUUUUUUAAGCCUGUAUGAUUUUGAACAAUGAAAUGAAACUACUCAAAUAUAUGGAUUGUGAACAAGUUGAAAUGCCCUAGUUUCAGCUCAUUCAAGGACAAGAGAUAUUGAAUAAAUUUCUGUCCGCAAGCAACUAUGACUGUCUGACCUUCUCAAGUAAAUGUCAGCCCUUAAAACUAUAUCAAGCAGUUAUGGCGUUUGAUCUUAUCAAGUAAAUUUCAGCCCUUAAAACAGUAUCAAGCAGUUAUGGCUGUUUGAUCUUAUUAAGUACAUCUCAGCCCUUUAGAUUAUAUCACCUACCACACAUAUAAUCUCCCAAUUACAUAUGUUUCCACUCAUAAUCAAUUUUAUUAUGUUAAUAAUCCUCUCAUCUGAAUUACAUCCUCAGCCACUAAGAGUCCAAAAACUCCUCUUCUGCUCCCACUUAAGAGCUAUGCGCACCCCACGUUAAGACGCAAUCGCAACUAUAUAGAGUACCAGAUAUUAUGGAUGUUGUAGUUUGAAUCCUUGUAAAUUUAUUUCCAUACUUAUCCUACAUUUAAGAUGCAAUCACAACUCAUGUCCUUUGUUUUCUCCUGAUCAAAUUCUUCACACAUAAUCAUGUGAGGAAUCAACCAAAAGAAGUCGGAUACUCCAGGCACCCAUCUAUCCCAAGUCAAUCACUAUCAUCCGCUUACACAUGGAUGGACAACAGCAAUACAAUGUGAGCAUAGAGAACAAGUGUUUGUGACUGCCUAGAAUUUUCAAAUUAUUUACCAACGUUUACUUUGGAAAAUGAAUGCAAAAUGGCAUCCAAUAUAUCAAUAUAUAACAUUACUGAUUAUUUUGCAUAAAACAGAUCUACAUUUGCCUGUUUUGGAUGGGACGACUAUUUUUAAAUUUUUUAAUAAUCAUCUUCCUAAUCCUAACUUGCUGCUCCAAGUUAGACAAUUUAAAAGAUCUUUACAAGAAGUUAUUGAUGGAGGCACAUAUCAAUUUAAAGAUCUCCUCAAUUAUUAUUUUUUUAAACUAAUACAAAAUAUCAAUUUAUUUUUUAAAUAUUAAAUAAUGAUCAGUUAUAUUUGUUAUUAUAUUUUUCUUUCAGUAUGUGCAUUGGCACAUACACAUUAUUUAGUAUUUUUAAAAAUAUGAAAAUUCUGCUCCAUGAUCUUAGUUCCAUAAACACCAAAUCUUCUUACUUUAGAAACUAAAAUAAAAAGAAAAUGCUAAAAUGUUUGCUAAUUUUACAUGAUUGGGCUUACUAGAAAUAAAAUUCUAAAAACCAUAAAGUCCAGUAAAUUAUAGAAGAUGAAAAUAACAGGAUUAAGUUGGAUCUUAUGAUCCAAAGGAUUAGAUGAUGCAUAAUUUACAUAUAAAUCUUAUGAUCCUACUCGAGCCUAUCCAGAUUGUCUAGUGUGGUUUUGAUCUGGAUAGUAAGCAUAAAAUAGAUGAGGGUUGGUCCAGACAAGAGGAUAUAGAGAAGGUUGCUCGUGGAUCUUAAGAAAGAUAACAAAGGUUGCUUGUGCUAUGAGCCUAAAUGAUAUGGAAAGCCUGAAAUAAGCAAAUCAUUGUAGGUCACACUUAACACCCAAAUAUGGCUGCAGGAAUAUUGGUCUUAGCAAAUGAAUACUUGGAUCAGAUGAAAACUUCACUUCCAGUUCUUCAUGAAAACUUGGUUAACCGGAACAUUACGUUAUCAUCAAAGAUCUCUUCUCACCUUCUAUUAGUUAAAUAAGUGACCACAUUGCAUGGAUACAUGAAGGUUAAUUUUUGACCAACAAUGAAGAAAAGUCAUCACGUGUUGGAGCCAGAUUCAUCAUUAGGAGCACCAAUUAGGACUUCCAACUGUUCCCAUGACAGAGGUAAUGAGUGCAGGCAUUGAAGGUCUUGAACAAUUUAUAUGGGAAGAAAUUGAAGAUAUGGCUGGCAAGUACAAGCCUGAAUAUGAUGCAGUGAGUCAACUGCAAAUUGGCCGUGAAAACUAGGGAAUUGAGGGAAGUGAAUUGCAAUAAAAGAAAGUCAAGAGUUUGAAGCAUAAAAUUGAAGAUCAGAACAUAGUUCUUUCAUUUUAGUUUCUAAAAUCUGAAACUUUCAUUGACCAUCUCCCAAAUUUUUACAGAAUUGGGAACAUUUGCUCUUCAUGAGUUAAUCUAAACUGCUGAUUCAGAACAAGAGUAUAGAUCAAGAGUGAAGAACUGAACAUAUCUUCAAGAAACAUAGCAGUCUCAUUUUUAGUUUCUAAAAUCUGAAACUUCCAUGGACUUCUUUCCAAUUUUUACAGAGUUGUGAACGUUUGCUCUUCAUGAGUUAAUCUAAACUGCUGAUUUACCAUCUAGAAAGAAGGCAUAAAGUUGAGACUUGAGACUUUAGAAGCUCCAAUAAUUACCAUAAUUCAUGGAUAAUGUAAUCAUAUUGUUUCAACUUUCAUGCAUUUUCAAUAGUGGCUCUAGAUCGAUUUUCCAAAGCGACCAAUCUUAAAGGUCAUCAUAGCAAAGCAGGUUGUUUUUCUCAACUUCGGAAUCACAGACAGUCUGGAGAUACCCAUUACCCAGCUAUCCUUAACCUACUAAGGCUUUCAACAUCCAAGAAUCAACAGAAGCGACUCUAAGGAUCAACUGAAGCGACUGUGAGCAAUUUAUUGGCAAAAUUUUUCUCAAGAUUACAGGUUGGAAGGCUAAAUAUGUUUCGUCUCCGGGCAUACUGGAACUACUUCAGUCAACUUUUGUCUCACAAUCCCUCUUGAGAUGAGCAGGUAAUAACGUCAUAUUUGAUAAUGUGCACCAAAGUUUCUCUUCUCAAAUCAUGUUGGAGGACAUCUAAAUGCCAUGGUCCCUUCGGUCAAAUGGAUGAGAGAAAAGUGCUUGACAAGGUAACGUUUAGUCUGUUAACCAUGGAGUAAUUUUUCUCCCAUUCAGAUGAACAAUUUUACAUUUUGAAACUUAUCCACUCAAGGGAGGUGUAUUUCUACUUAUGUUCUUGGUGGACAACCAAGAUAACAUGAAGAACAAGAAAAAUCCCAUUAAAAAAUUUACGAAGAAAAUAUAAAAGCGAUUACCUACAGGAUAUCACAGAGCACAGAAACUCCAUGAGAAAUGAUGCCGCUAGUUGGAAUACAACAUCAUGCAAACAUAGUCGGAAUCUCCUAAAUAAUCAUCCACCCUUUUCUCUUUUCUAAUACUCUUUUAACAGGGCUUAUUCUUCAAACAAGGGGGUUCAUCUCAGAGCGUCCCCGCACUAACGUACAACCAAACAAAUGGCAAGCAUAAAGAGAAAAGAAAGAAAAGCACCCCUUUUUUUCGUUGGGAUUCAGCUUGACCCACGGAAAUCAUAACCAGUUCCUAAAUAAUCGUCCAACUACUUCUAGAUUAAUGGAUUUCCUAAGCAUGCAUCUAUAUACAGUCCAAGGCCAAUUCUGAGUGGGUUCUCUUCCACAUUCCUCGCAGAGGCAUAAAAGCAAACAUGGCAGGCAUAAACAGAUAGGAGCAUAAGCCAGCAAAUACGUACGAACGAACGAACGAACGAACGAGAGAGAGAGAGAGAGAGAGAGAGAGAGAGAGAGAGAGAGAGAGAGAGAGNNNNNNNNNNNNNNNNNNNNNNNNNNNNNNNNNNNNNNNNNNNNNNNNNNNNNNNNNNNNNNNNNNNNNNNNNNNNNNNNNNNNNNNNNNNNNNNNNNNNNNNNNNNNNNNNNNNNNNNNNNNNNNNNNNNNNNNNNNNNNNNNNNNNNNNNNNNNNNNNNNNNNNNNNNNNNNNNNNNNNNNNNNNNNNNNNNNNNNNNNNNNNNNNNNNNNNNNNNNNNNNNNNNNNNNNNNNNNNNNNNNNNNNNNNNNNNNNNNNNNNNNNNNNNNNNNNNNNNNNNNNNNNNNNNNNNNNNNNNNNNNNNNNNNNNNNNNNNNNNNNNNNNNNNNNNNNNNNNNNNNNNNNNNNNNNNNNNNNNNNNNNNNNNNNNNNNNNNNNNNNNNNNNNNNNNNNNNNNNNNNNNNNNNNNNNNNNNNNNNNNNNNNNNNNNNNNNNNNNNNNNNNNNNNNNNNGAGAGAGAGAGAGAGAGCAUGUGAUAGUUAAUAGAGUGAGAAAGCUACUAGGAUAGUUAAGUUAUUGUACAAUCAAAAGAUAUUUUCUAAUUGCAAAACCAUCAUUUUUAUAUGUAGUAUAGAUCUAUUGCCUCCUACUUUCGGUAUUUUUCUUAUUUUCCACCUAAAAAAAUAAACAAGAACAAAACAAAUUGAUGAUGAGCAUACUCUUGAAGCCUUGUAUUAUGUUGUAAUAUGAUGAUUUGAUUAUAGAGAAAAUGAAGCAAUUCCUUCAAUCCACUCAACUCUGACACCUUAAAGAAAAUAAUAAAAACUAGGAGUACUCGUGAAAAUAGCAUUCCAAGUCUCCUUUUUCAUUCAUUAUAGAUUAAAAAGAGUUUGGAGGAUCCUUUGAGUUUGUCAAAUUUGCCAAUGAAAAAUAUAUUAGUUGAUAUAAAUAAAAACUUCAUCAUAUAUUAGUCAUCAGCAUGAGCCGCUUGGAAAGAAAAAUAUAUAAAGAACCAAUCUAAUUUUCUCUUUUGUAUUUAAAUUGCACAACCAAUAGAAUCUUUCUAAUGCAUAAAAUUCUUUGUCGCUAUCCAAACUAAUUUCUCUCUAUCUAAUAAACUUAUUUCUUUUCUAUCUUUGUUUCCUUUUAAAUAGUCUUACCCACUUCUGAUCACUAUCUUCUACUUUAUUUCUUAAUUUCUAUUUAAUUUCUAUUUAUUUAAUAUUAUAGUUUUAUUUGGUAUUUCAUCUUUCACUAAAACCAUUUAAUCUAUUUAUCCUGUUUUAUCUAUCUUUUUGUUGUUACUAAAUUUGUAUUGCCCAUUCUUGUGUGCCAAUUCACUAGAAAAUUGAUUAAAAUCCCUCUAUUCAUGUAAGGGAAGUCUAGACCCCAAAAAUCAGAUUGGAUUUCUUUUUUAAUUUUAAAAAAAUUACAUUUUUUAAACAAUUAUGACUAGUUAAAAUAAUCUUUAAAAAAUAAAAUUUUUCUAGAACUAAAUCUUGACUUUUACGUCAACCUUAUCUUUUAUCACAUUGCCUAAUUCGUUUCAAAUUAGAAGAUACAUCCGGUUCAAAUCUUUUCUGAAAAGAAAAUUUUUAUUUUAAUCAAUCUGUUUUGAAAACUAAAUAUCAUGGUAAUUCUUCAUAUGUAGUGUACAAUGAAUCCUUAGGGUCAUCACACCCUCAUAAUACUCAUCAAGCGCUUUGUUUUGGUGUAUAGCAUGCCAAAACGAAUGCUAUAUGAGAAAAUGAUGAUCUUUGAGAGUUAUAAUUCGCGAUUGAGAAGUGGAUAUGGUGAAUCCUGCUCCCAAAUCUUAUUUAGAUAUAUCCAAAAUAGCUAGAUCAUGUGAGGCAUAGGAAUAUUAAAGAUAAGAAUAUUAAUUUAACUAGCAAGUUAUAAAACAAUGACUAUAUAGUUACCACAUGUAAAAAAAAAAAUCUUUAUUUAUGGAAAAUAUAUAAUAUUUUUUUAAAAAAGUCUAAUCUAAGUUUUUUAAAAUCUAAGCAUAUAGCAAAUACUAUACAAAAUAUUAUUCAGAAGGCUCUCUAAGUUAUUUAUUUCUAAGACAACUUAAGGAUGGUAUUGUCACGCUGCUUUAGCGGCCGCUUUUAAUUAUACACGACCAUUGUACGACUUUGCUCCCUUUAAAAGUAGUUUUAUUUAUAAGUCAAAUCAUGGCUACUCCCUUAUGUUAUUUUGAGAGAAAUAACAUAAAAAAUAGGGUUUUUUUUUUUGCAUGAAUACUCUUCUAAAAAUUCAAAUUUGCAUGAAUACCCUCUUCAAAUUUAUAUUUAUUUCUAUAUCCUGAUAAAACACUAUUUUUGCAUAAAUAUUCCUAAUAUAAUGAUUUUUCUAAUACCAUUAAUUAAAACCAUAUAUAUUUUAAUUAAAAAUAAAAUAAAAUUUUGAAGUUACUUUUUUGUUCUCCAUCACGAUUGCCUUAUAAAUGUUUCUUUUUGCACAUAUACCGUUAAAAAUAUUUUAGUCAUUUAAUUUGAAACUGUUAAUUUUUUUAAUGGCGUUAGAUGACAUGGGUACAUAUGCAAAAAUAAGGAUAGAAAAAGGAUAGAAUAGUAAAAUAAGUGUUUUACGAGGGUAUGUAUGCAAAUAUCAAUUUUGAAAGGAUAUUCAUGCAAAAUUAUUCAUAUAAAAAAAUCUAAAAAAAUAUAAUAAAAAUGGUUCAAAAAAUAUAUUAAUUUAUAUAACAAAAAAACAAAGAGAUGGAGAUAUUUCUCUGUUAUCACCUGUUAUUUCUCCUUAACAUCGUUAUAAUAGCCAUUAAUUUCAAUCAUAUUGUAAUGCCAAAAUUCCAAAAGAUAUUUCUUGAGAUAAGUAGUAGCCGUUAUAUCCGUUAUGGCGCAAUAAUGGUUUCGAUGCAGGGCCAUUAUAACGGAAUAAGACGUUUUUUCCAAUCUUUAGCCAAACUAGGGCAAGGCCGCUAAGGUCAAACCACAUAAGGCCCAAUAAAAUUUGGCCCAUUGAUUUCGUCCAGGCCAAGCCCAAUUAGCUAUUGCCUAUUGCGAAUCUUGGACUAAUAUGAUCGCUUUUAAUUUUCCUGAGGAGAGAGGCUAGGCUUCUCUAAAUUGGUGAAUCUAACAUGAGGACCAUCCAUGCUUAAAAGACCAAAUAAAUUGCUCUGGAUCGUUGUAACGCCACGUUUCUGAUUCAGAUACUCUUUCUGUUAUUUAACAUCAGGGAGGCAGACAUUUUUGAUCUUAUCAUAGAUUUUGGAUUUAGGGUGUAAUUUAACUAAAUUCUAAAUUUCGAAAAGAAGUAUAUGUAAGUAUAUACAAAUGUGCUUGUGCAUUUACUUGAUAACAGUAGUAUUCAUAAGUGUAAGCAGCUCCGUAAUGUUCUAAGUUAAUAGUUCACACGAUUCGUGACCUGCAAUGUCUGAAAUGAAUGGUCAAUACGUAGGCAGAAGACUUGUGUUUUAGUUUGUUGUUGGAAUUAUUGAAACCACAUAGUUUUUGAGCUAUUUGUGUCAUAAGUUUACCGAAUUAUACAUAUGAUAUGAAUCAUCGACUUAAGCGGCCCACCAUGCAUUUUAGUAAAGGUUUCGACCUAGUUGCACCCCUCGGAAAAAAUUGAAGCUGCCCCUAACAUAAUCUGACCCUUAUUGUCUAAUAAAUUUAUCAACUUAUCAUUUCUUGGCAUUCAGCAUGGAUGGUCUUAGUGAUAUAAGAAAUUAGAUCUUUCUUUUAGGAUCAGAUCAAAAUCUACUUGUCUCCUAUAUUAUUGUGUUAUUGUUUCAUUAAAUAUCAUCUAACAUUAUCUUGGGUAGUAGAGUUUUCGUUCAGACUGCUGUAAUGGGAAACAGAAGUCCUUCACUUAAAGGAAGUCAAUCUACAUGUAGGACUAAUUUACAUGAUUUUGACAUGUCAUUCAUGCUUUUAGUUAGUGUUCUCACAACUUUAAAUGAACCCGUCUAUCUUUCCUUGAAUUAGAAUGCCAAAGGGUCCUGAAAACUGUAGUUUGUCAACAUACCCAUUUCAAAGGGAAAACGUAAAGAUGAAAAAAAGGGAACAAUAGCAGGAAUUCUUUUACAAUCGUAGUGCUUUAGAAAAGCUUGGUGAUUGUCUUAACAAUUCUAAAUUAAAAACUCAUCAUGGUGAAGACAUCAUUGACCAGAUACUAUGGUUGUUCACAUGUUGAUCUCCAUUUAAGUGAAUGCCCAUAAACAACUUAUAAGCUCCUUUUAGAACAAUUUAUAUAAAUUUGUUUUAGAAUUUUUUUAAUAGGUUAAGAAAAAUGGUGUGGUACACUAGAGAUGGCAAGAGGUUUAGAUACGCACCAAUCUUCGUGGAUUUGAGCUUAGUAUAGCUCAUGAGUUCGGAAUAUUAUGCUAUAGUCUUGAUAAUUUAUUGGUGCUUUAGCUAAUACACCUUAAAACCAACCGUUCCAAGUCAGGCUAGGUUAACCUGACUCGCAUUUCUGUCCUAACCUCAUUGAAGUUCAUUCCAUACCGAAUCAUACCGAAAUAGGAUUACUACAUUCUUAUUAUGAGAAACAGUCAUUCAAGUGUGUGCAAAUAGAUACUAUGUUUACAUAUGGAUCUCUUUGUUGUUGCAUUCUAUUUAGGAUAAGAAAUAGGUGCAACGGGGCCUGCUUUUGAUAUAUCAUAAGAUUAUCAAGACAAAUGAUGCAAGAAUGAUACUUGGGAAAGAAAUGUGGAAAUGGAAAAGGAGGAGAGACGAUAGCUAGUGGAGAAAGAUGAAGGAAACCCACUACAUUAGUGAAAUCGAACUUUAGAAAACUUAACGCCUCUUCCUUUGGCCAUGAAAAGAAAAUCUGAAAGAUCUUGGCGAGUUGUAGAUAUAAGCUAGUACACACAAAGAAAGAAAUCACCAAGAAGCAAAACAACAAAUAUUCACUAUAUCUGGAAAAAUAACUUCACAUCUUUAAAAUUAUGCUAUAGCUAUUUCAUGAUCACUAAUUAAAUUAAAAUAUAUUUAUCUAUUUUAAAAAAUUGAUCAUUUGCAUAAAUAUUCAAUUUGUAGAAUUGCUUGGAGUAUGAAAAAUAUGCAACAAAGAAUUUAAUAAACCAGACAACAUUUUGACUAGGAAUUGCAUUUUGCCUCUAGGGUUGCCAAUAAAGCUAGAGCCUGCGUGAAGCUUACCAAAGAGAACGAAUAUAUUAUGCAAGGAAUAAUUCUAAAAAGCAUCUCUAAAUGCGUGCUUGAAAUCUAAGCUAACAUGGCUAGUGGAUAUGAUUUGGAGCUCAAUGAACUAAAAGAUAAAUACCAACUUUGCAAAGUAUAUUAAAUGGGACAGCUCCUUUGCACGGGGAUUUUAUAAGGAAUCUUUUACUGCUAACGGAGCUGAAAUUUCCUUGUGGAAUGUGCUGACUGGAUCCACUUUAGACCAAGUACAAAGUAUGAGUGUUGUAUGUGGGGGAGAGAGACAGAGAGAGAAGCUUGCAAUUAACACCCACUUCCUCUUAAACCUUGCUUUUGCCUUCUGCAAGAGUGCAAUUAGGGGCGCAACCGAGUUGAGUAGCUAGAAGCUCUAGCUCAACUCGACUCAAAUUACUCGGACUCGAAACUUAAUUUGAGAUCAAUCCAACUUUAAUAUCUAAGCUCGGAUUUGACUCGAUAAAAAAAAAAAUAUUUGAGAUCGACUGGAUUCGACUCGAAUGUCAACCGAAUCAUACUAGAGCGCGAGUUCAAAUCUUGAACAUAAUUAAAAAAAUAUGGUUAAAACAAAUAUAGUAUAAUACCAUAUUUUAAAAGAUUAAAUUAAUGAUAUAUUAUAAAUAAAAUAUAAUAUUAUUUAAAAUAUAUGUAUACUCGACUAAGCUCAUGAGUUUUCAAGAUGAGUAACUUGCAACUCGAACGUGGCUUGAAAACCUGUUCUAGCUACUUGAGUUUGGUAAUAAUCAAGUCAAGCUUGAGCAGCUUGUCAGCAGCUCGGCCAGAAAAUCCAUUCAAAGGCAAAAGGAAAGCUUACCUAUAAAUGCGGACGGCUUAUUUGUAUCUUUUAGUUUAAUGGGACAAAUAUGUGCCUAUUCGGGUUUAAUAUGCACUAAGUUCUAUUAGGCUGCAAUGAGAGUUGAGCAGCUUGUCUAAUUUGAUUCUUUUUACAACGGUUUUCCUAGCUCAAAUUAUAUUUCUGGUUUUCUAUAGUAUAAAGCCCAGCCAAACAAAAAUGCGAACCUACAGAGGAUAUAUCCGAAACAAAAAAAAAAAAAAUUAAUGGCAGCCUAACAAAACCAAAUUGUGUUUUGGUUGAUAUUUUUGUUUUUAGGUGAUUGUUUGACUUGGUUGACUUUAUUAACGCGUCAAGUCAACUUAAGUUUGUGUAUAUACUGUUGGUAGGGUCCAUUAUAGACUGGCCCUGUCACGACCAACCUGUCCGAAUUGAACCAAUUUGGAGGAUACUUUUGUUGUGCAUCGUAUGUGGUGGAAAUGGCAGCACUUUCCAAAGCGAUUACUGUAAAAAUGAGUGCUGAUGCUAUUAUUCCUUCAGAAUCCUGGCUUUAUUGGGGCACUCUUUUAGAAUUCUCAAGAAAAGUAUAUAAUGAUUAAAUAUAUGUAAUGAUUAAAUAUAUGGAUAAUCACAGUUACAUUAUUCAAACAUGAUUCCACUGAGGGAAAUUUGCAUACGUACAGUGGAAGUUAGCAAAUUUCAAGAUAAAUUUAAAGGUUCAAAGUUCAGAAGAUAAUCUGAAAACAAAAAAUGUAAACUAAUUGUUAUGCUACAUGCUAAUGCAUGAUAGAAGCAAGAAGGGGUUCCAACCACAAAUUAUGUUAAUAAUUCGUAAUUAAAGGAGUAUUUCAUGAAUAGGCCAAGAAUAACCUGCUUAAUUUGUGAUUACUAAAUGAUAAUUUGUGUAAUAUCCAAUAUUUGAGUACUAGACAGAUGUUAGAGAAUAAUUUCAAAUUAUUGUUGAAAAUAUUUGAUAAUUAGGAACGAGAGCAUCAAAAUUCUAUUAAAAAAAUAUGGUUAUAGAAUCAACCAAAAUUAUGAUUUGCUGAAUUUUUCAAAAACAAAAUAUUAAGUUGCCGAUAAUUCAUUAUAUUAUUCUCAAAAUGUAAACCUUCAAUGUAAUGCAAAUUAUCAGGAAAUUCGGAAAUAAUUAUAAGAAAACUUAUCUAUGAUGGAUAAGUUUACAGGAAAAAAAUUAAGAAAAUGAAAUUGAAAACAAAACUUAUUUCAAUAUAUUUUCAGAAGAUUUGAGGCGAAUCUUCCUUUAAUUGUCGAAGAAGAAAGCAUCUAUUCCCUUCUGGAAUAACGAAUGGUAUUCAUCUGUCACAUAGAGAGAGAGGGUGAGAAGGAAGGGGUGCGAGAGGAGAGAGGAGAGCUUUAUAAUGUUCUUACUCAUCCUCUUGUUUCUUUCCGGUGGGGCCUAGAGUGUCAACUGGCUGGGUCUGACUUGCUUUUGUUUGGAUUUGGUUGAUGGAAAUUCUUUAUGACAUUCUUCUAUUCGACCAAAGCGAUUAGGUUGAGCCUAAGAAAAAAGAUAGGUCUCCCCACACAUUACACCAUCAAUGGCUCCACCCCAAGGGCCUUUAUUGAAAGAUGUUUCCAUGCCCAACCACCAACAUUAGGGGCUCAAUGCAAAUCUAUAUAUAUAUAUUUUCAGCGCCCACCAAGUUCUUUAAAGUGCUUACCAAUCCAUUUCUCAUGGUAUUGAUACGGAAGAUCACAACCAAAUCUAUACUCUGACUGUCCUUUGCUGCAUUAUAUAAAAAUUUGAGGACCUAAAGUGCUUUUCUGUAUAUAGAAUAUUGAUCAUAUACGAGACUGAUGAAUGAUAAUUAAUAGGAAAAAUACCGUGAUUCAUGGGAAGUAUAUCCAAUAUUAUUUUCUGGAUUCAAGAAAUGGUACACACUCCUGUCUUGUCUUUUUCUUUUUUCUGAAAAAAAGAAGACACUGAAACAAUGCGUUUAGGCUAAUUUCCAAAUGUCACGAUAAUUAGUAUAUUUUUUUGUGAGGGAGCAUAAUAAUUGCUAGUUUGUGAGAGAACAUAAUAAUUAGGAGUUUAAAGUGCAUGAUUGACAAAAGUAAUUUAAAGUGUACGACUUAAUUAAGUUGUUAAACAUUUCCUUUUGGGAAAAAACCUGUAAGAUGAGGUAAGCAUAAAGAGGAACUUGAAGAUCGAAGCCUAAAAAUGGCAAGCACAAAACUUGACCUCCUGGCAAAAUGUAGAGAUAUUUGUCGGUUUGUCCAACUUCACAUCACCAUGAAACCUCUCUCUAUUGGUGGUGCAUAAAGAACUAAAUAGCGGCCUUGUUCAUCAACCAAAAAAAAAAAAAGGAAACAUGGCCUUGUUCCUAACCAUUGAAUCAAAAGUUAUGAAUAUGAAGUUUGGUUUAUGAUAGCACUGGAGCACAAAGUGCUUGCUCCACAAAAAAAAGGGAGGGGUGUGGGGGCAUGGGAGUUUUGGAAGGCAUGAAGUGAUUGAAAGGUGCACUUGAAAUAAGCUCAAAAUUCAGAAAGGUAGGGCUGCAUACUAGGCCAAUAUGAUUGCAUGAAGGUCUCUCCUGUUCCCUUACUGUGAAAAGUUCCAAGUGACUACAAGAAUAACAGCCCUAUAAAGACUCUCUCUCUCUCUCUCUCUCUCUCUCUCNNNNNNNNNNNNNNNNNNNNNNNNNNNNNNNNNNNNNNNNNNNNNNNNNNNNNNNNNNNNNNNNNNNNNNNNNNNNNNNNNNNNNNNNNNNNNNNNNNNNNNNNNNNNNNNNNNNNNNNNNNNNNNNNNNNNNNNNNNNNNNNNNNNNNNNNNNNNNNNNNNNNNNNNNNNNNNNNNNNNNNNNNNNNNNNNNNNNNNNNNNNNNNNNNNNNNNNNNNNNNNNNNNNNNNNNNNNNNNNNNNNNNNNNNNNNNNNNNNNNNNNNNNNNNNNNNNNNNNNNNNNNNNNNNNNNNNNNNNNNNNNNNNNNNNNNNNNNNNNNNNNNNNNNNNNNNNNNNNNNNNNNNNNNNNNNNNNNNNNNNNNNNNNNNNNNNNNNNNNNNNNNNNNNNNNNNNNNNNNNNNNNNNNNNNNNNNNNNNNNNNNNNNNNNNNNNNNNNNNNNNNNNNNNNNNNNNNNNNNNNNNNNNNNNNNNNNNNNNNNNNNNNNNNNNNNNNNNNNNNNNNNNNNNNNNNNNNNNNNNNNNNNNNNNNNNNNNCUCCUCUCCUCCUCCUCUCUUCUUUACUUACUUUCUUCUUCUUCUUCUCUCUCUCUCUCUCUCUCUCUCUCUCUCUCUCUCUCUCUCUCAGUCUCCCUCAUCCUAAAUUCUAGUGAUCAUCUACAGAUGAUAAGUGCUGCCUUUGGUUUUGUAGAGGCCACGCCGAAAACCAUCAUGAGAGUUAUGGGCGUUCAGGGUCUUACUCUCUACCACCUCAAAAGCCACCUUCAGGUAUGUCCAUGUGAAAUAGCGAUGUUUUCUUUUCCUUCUUAUACUGUUUAACUAUCCAUCAUCUAGGGUUGAUCGAGCUUCAUAACCCCUUAUCCAAUCGUCGUUUCUCCAUUCAUGCUUUAUUUUGUAGAAAUUCAGACUUGGGAAACAACCACACAAAGAAAUCAACGAUCACUCCAUUAAGGAUGGUGAGUGAGAUCUGACCACAUGAAUGUUUUUUCUUACUAGUACAAACUUGUGAUUGCUUUAUAACAAUUUGCCCCUAAAUCAAUGUAAUGUUUAGGAUCUUCAACAUCUUCCUUUGUUUCUAUCGUGUUUUCUUGUUUAACAUACACUUACUGUUUUUAACUGUGACGGCAGCUUCAGCAUUAGACAUGCAAAGAAAUGCAGCAUCUUCAUCGGGGAUUAUGGGUCGAACCAUGAAUGAGUAAGCUACCAGCAUGCCAUGUCUUUACAAAGGGAAGGAUUUAGAUAUUGAGAAUGUUCUUGGGUUGCAAAAUUUUUGUAGCAGGAACGUGCAUAUCACUGAAGCACUUAGCAUGCAGAUGGAAGUCCAGAGGAGAAUACAAGAGCAAUUAGAGGUGACCAUAAAUUCUGAAAGCACCUCUUAUUUUCAAUUUACACUUGUUUGAUAGCACCAGUGCUCUCUGUUAAAUUCUCCAUACAUUUUGGAUCACUAGGUGCAAAAACACCUCCAAAUGAGGAUAGAGGCUCAACGCAAGUACAUGCAAACCAUAUUGGAGAAAGCAUGCCAAACACUUGCUGGGGAGGGCAUGGCCUCAGUGAGCUACAAAGGUCAUGGAAAUCAAGGAGUUAUACAUGUGGGUGCCAUGAAAGAUAUGGGCUCGCCCAUGAGCUUUCCUUCACUCCAAGAUCUACAUUUAUAUGGUGGAGAUGAUCAACUAGAUAUGCAGCAACAUAUGGAUAGGCCUCUUGAUGGGUUCUUUCAGGCUAAUGAAGGCGUUUGUCUAGGCAAGAAAAGGUUCAACCCCUACAGUUCUAAUGGGAAGAGCCCUUUGAUUUGUGCUGAUGACCUCCGUCUGCAAGAACUGGGAUCAGCUGCAGCAUGCAUGGGCGCACAGGAAGAACCUUCUAAGAAUGAUCAGCUCCAAAUUGCAUCAUCUGUGAUCGGUGGUGGAAUUGACAUGGACUCAAUCACGGAUGUAUAUGAGACCAAACCGGUGCUCUCGACUGACGGCACGGGCGAGAAGAAGCAUGAAGGAUCACCAAAGCUCGAGAGGCCGUCUCCACGAAGAGCUCCUCUUCCUGUGGAAAGGAUCAAUCCAAUGAUCAGAGGUGGUACAUUACCGCAGACUAGAAACAUAUCCUAUGGGUGAGGAUUGCCGAUUCCACAAGAAAAUUCACUCUUGCAUGCAUGUUUAAAUAAGUGACCCGAGUGGGAAUGGCUAAGUAAAUCUUUAAAUCAAAUUGACGUUAGGGUUUUACGGUCAAGUAUAAGUUAUGAUGCUAUGAGAGGUACAUCAUGUCAAAAACUCCAACACAUACAUUUACCGUUGUCAGUCUUUUGUUGUAACGUAUGGGUGACUAAGUUAUGAUGCUAUGAGAUUACUUAAGUAAAUCAUAUUUAUCUAAUGGUUUUAGAUCGAGGCAAUGAGAAGCAUCUGUUCUUUCUUUCUUUUUUUUGUUUCAUUGAUGUAAAUGCUCGUCCUCUCAUGCAGCAAAUGAGCUGUUGAACUUUCGCGAAUUAAUUAACAUGCAUGUAGGAUACUUGCAGCAUGAAGCCUACGUGUGUUUAUCAUUAACUUAGAUGCCGUGUGAAAGAUUAAUGUUCUUGACUGUUCUGCUAUUUAUGCUUUUAAUCUUGUAUUUAUUCGGUGAUUUGUCUUUUCUUAUGCCAAUGGAAUGGCAUGGACCUAAGAAACUGAGGGUAGAAAACAGUACUAAUUUGAGCUAUGGUAGAGAGAGAGAACAUAUGAGCUAUGGUAGAGAAUAUUAUUAUUUGAAAGGAAGAAUACUUUGAGCUAUGGUAGAGAGAGAGAACAUAUGAAAGAUGGGACCUUGGCUCACUUCAUCUUAUUCUGUUGUUUCCGAUGACCUUUAUGACGAGAGUGCCCUCAUUUAGAAUUCUCAUGUUAGCUCAUGUGGGUCUUCUUGUCUCCUCCCUCGUUCUUUAGCGAGGCAGUAGCCGUUUCUGGACUUUGCUUUUAGAUUAGUAACUCCAGGUUUGUUACUCCCAUCAUUGCAGGCAAUAACCUUUGCAGAUUGAUAUCAAUCAUAGAUUCAUGGUACAAAUUAAAAUACCACGCAGACCUACAAGUCCUAUGCACAACACCUUACGCACAAGUAUAUUAAAAAAAAUUUAAAAAACGAAAAAUAAAGCAAGAGACAUAGCCCUCAUAAGAAGCUCUUCCUUUAAUUUUGAGCGAGGCAGACAGAGAGUAUCUCCUCUUCCUUUAUCUUUUUUUUCCACAGAUCAUCACACUCCAUGUUCCAUGAGCAUUAGAAGAGUACCCGAGGUCUAUGACACCUUGGACUAGUUUAUAUGGUCCUCUAAGAUCUCUCUAGUUAGAGGCUUUUCCUUUCUUUCUUUUGCUCCUGGGGUAAAGAGGAGGAGGUGGUUCAGUUGCCUUUAUUGGUCUGAGAGAAAUGUAGGGAGGGUGCAAGUUGGCAAGAGAAUGCUCCAAUCCUCAGAGAGAGAGAGAGAGAGAGAGAGAGAGAGAGAGUAAGUUNNNNNNNNNNNNNNNNNNNNGAGAGAGAGAGAGAGAGAGAGAGAGAGAGAGAGAGAGAGAGUUUAAAAGCUAAAGGAAGAAACAGAACCCAAGAGUGCAGAGAGAGGAUAAAGGCUAAAAGGAGAAACAAAACCCGAGAGUGCAGUACUCGAGGAAGCUUCUCUGAGAGCUUUGGAGGGCAGGCACGGUGGGGGAGCAUUCAAUUCAAGAUCUCGAGGCAUAUGUGGACGGGUCCGAGGCUCCUUUCAAGCCGAAAUCAUCUGCGGGGAGAACAAAGCACCUCGGAUAAAGGGACGGACAGCACUAAUACAGUUUGGGAGAGGGCAGAGAAUACUGUUUGGAAGAGGAGAGAGAAGAGGGGUGGGGAGGGUGGCGAGGAUAAAGGUAAACAAGGAUUCGAGAUAAGAAAGUACCAUCGGAAGAGGGGAAGCUUCGCUUCUUUUACAGGGUAGUUUGCACUAGCAGCAGAUAACAGCCGUUUGUGCGAACAAAAAUCACAUACAACGGGCACCAUAAAAACAAAAUAUUGGGUGUUUGUUUUUUAUAAUAUAUUUUCUCUUACAUAGACAAUCCAAAAAUCAAAUAGGGAUAGAAGAAUUUUUAUUAACGGAGUCCGUCGGUUUUUUAAUUUUUAAAAAAAUAAAAAAUUAUACGCGCCAAUUAAGAAGAACCAUCAAUAAAAAAAGAUCAUUUGCAUCAUUUUUCUUUCUCAUCAAGCAUUUCCUAUUCUUUUUCUCAUCAAGCCCUCUCUCCAUCCAUGAGGGCUUUCUUCUCCUCCCUAGUCUUUUUCUUCCUUCUUUUUGAAAAUUAUGUAUCAAUUUAUCUAAAGUGUGCAUUGGAAUGUUGAAUGACUAUUUUGCUAGGUGUGUAUCAUUUGAUCAUAUAGUAUGUACUCAUGAAUACCAUGUUCUGAAAAUUAUGCAAUGAUUUAUCUGAAGAUAUGUAUUAAGUUGCUGCUCAAGUAUAUAUCGCAAAAUCUUACAGUAUGUUGGAAGUUACAACAAAUCAAAACAUUUGGUAAUGGGCAGUCAAUGUGUGGUAAUGGGUAGUCAAUAAUUAUGUGGUAAUGGGCUGCCUAAUAAUGUGGUAAUGGAUAGUCAAUUUUUUUCUGUUAGAGUUAAGUGGCUUAUGUUUUUAUUUUGCAUCGUAAUGCCUAUAUAAGGCUGCCUAGUUUUUCAUUUUGACAUGAGAUUAGAAAGAAAUUACAAACUAUUGUGUGCUUUGAAAAGAGAGUGGUAUAGUCCGUAGACUUCUCUUAAUAUUGGUAUCAGAGCCACUUAGAUCUAUUUUCUCACCUUCUCUUCUUCUCAUGGCCUCUACCAAUACCCUAGUCAAUUCACAAGUACCCAAGUUAUCGAAAGAUAACUAUGAGAGUUGGUCAAUCUAGAUGAGAGCUUUAUUAGGUUCCCAAGACUUAUGGGAGCUAAUGGUUGUUGGGUUCAUGGAACCCACACCAGAGGAAGAAGCCGCCUACACUGCCGAACAAAAGAAGAAGGAAGGAUAGUAGGACUCGUUUCCUACUCUAUCAAGGGUUGAUGAGUCUACCUUUGAAAGAGUUGCCGAAGCAACGACGAGUAAGGAAGCAUGGAAAAUCCUUGCUACGAUCUACAAAGGAGUCGAGCGGGUUAAGCAAAUUCAUCUCCAAACUCUGAGGUAGGAUUUUGAAGCCGCUCAAAUGAAAGACGAGGAAAAUAUUUUCGACUAUUAUUCGCGAUUAGUAUUAAUCAUGAAUAAUAUGAGGAGAAAUUGAGAAAAAAUAGAAGAUGUACGAGUCAUGGAGAAUUUGCUCCGAUCCCUCUCAUCAAAGUUCGAGCACGUGGUGGCGGCGAUUGAAGAGUCGAAGAAUUUGGAGGAGAUCUCAAUUGAGGAGCUCUUGGGAUCUCUCCAAGUUCAUGAGCAACGCAUGCAAAAGAAAACUAUCUCCACAGCUUUAGAACAAGCGCUAUAGUCAAAGAUGACUUUAAGUGAUCGAGGCUCACAUGGUAGAGGCCGUGGUCAUGGUAGAGGCAGGGGACGUGGUCCCCAAUAGAACCACUCAAAAUCAAGUGCAGACCUAAAGCUUUAGAGGCCGAGGACGAGGCAAUUGGGGAAGAUUCACACCUGGGCGUGGAAAUCUUCUGUCUUUUAACAAGAAUGUUCAGUACUACAACUGUCAUAAUUUGGGCACUAUGCAUCAGAUUGCUGGCACAAAAUCGAAGAGCAAACCAAUCUUGCUGAAGUAACAAAUAAUGAGGGUAACAACUCUACAUUUCUUCUUGUUCAUGAUGAUUCAAGUGUUCAGAAUGAUGCUUGGUACCUUGACUCGGGUGCUAGCAACCAUAUGUGCGGAAAGAAAGAAUUUUUCAUGGAACUCACAGAAGGAGUUCAUGGAAAUGUGAGUUUGGGAGAUUCUUAGAGCUGUUAAUGAGCCGAGCCGGCUCGUUUCACAAAAUCUCAGGCUCGGGCUCGGUACCGAGCCCUGUAUUGGGCUCGGGCUUGCUUGGCACAGCCUGACUCGGGCUUGAGCUCGUAAAACUCAUUUGCCCGAGCGCGAGCGCGAGCCCGCCCCAUCCCCAUCCCCAUCCCCAUCCCCGAGCUCGGUUUGUCGUCGGAGAGAAGAACGAAGGAAAGAAAGAAAGAAAGAAAAGAAGAAGAAGAGAAGAAAGAAGGAAAGAAAGAUAGAAAGAAAAAGAGAAAAGAGAAGAAAUGACUCACCGGUUCAUCAUCACGUGCGGUGGCCGCUGGCUUUGGCCGCAAGCACUUCCGGCAUGGGCGUUGGCUGCAGGCAUGGGCGUCGGCCGCAGGCACGACUGAGGACGCCGCGGGCUCGGCCACGAGUGCCGCCGGCCGUGGCCCGAACCUCCCAUGCGAGGGACUCCUUCCCUGAUUCACCAGUGGAGAAGGGCUUCUCCUCCCCUCCUCUGUUGCCGGUGGAAGAGUCGGCAAAGAGAGAAAAGGAAAGGGGGAGAAAGGGAGAAGAAAGAGGGGCCUCGCUGGAACGUUCUGGAGAAACCAAGAAGAAAGGAGAAGAAAAGAAAAAUAAAGAGAAGGAGGAGGGAAUGGGUUAACAGGUUGGAUUCAGGUUAACGGGUUGAGUCCGAAUCCAAACUAAUCCAAUCCGAUUUACAGAAAUUAAAUGGAUUUGGGUUAGCUCGGGUUGGGUCUGAUCUAAAUCCAACUGGGUUCAAUCAGAUUGGGAUUUAAAUUGAUUAAGCCAAAUAAAAUUUAACUGGGUUGAGUCCAAGUUUAAUUAAGAUCCAAUUAAAUUAUUAAUUGGACUGAGCCGUCAUUGGGCUCGUGAGCUACUCGAGCUCGAGCUCGGGCUCGGGCUCGGAUUGAAAUGGGCCUUAUUUUGGGCUUGGGCCCGUUUGACUAACGAGCCGAGCUCGAGCCGAGCUUUUAUCGAGCUGGGCCUGAGCCGAGCCCGAGCAGCUCGGCCCGUUAACAGCCCUAGAGAUUCUUCAAAACUCCUAGUUAAAGGCAAAGGAAAGAUCAAAAUCUAUCAAAAGAAUGGUAAGCUCAAGUAUAUUUCUGAUGUUUACUAUAUUCCUAACAUGAAAAGCAAUAUUAUUAGCAUCGGUCAACUACUUGAAAAAGAAUACAUAUACAUAUGGAGAACAACCAUCUUGGUUGAAAAAUGCAAAUGGAAGCCUCAUAGCUUGUGUUAAGAUGAUAAAGAACCGUAUGUUCCCCUUGCAUCUAAAUACGGAAUUCAAGAAGUGUUUUCAAGGACUUGUUGAGAAUGAGUCAUGGAGGUGGCAUCUUCGCUUCAACCAUCUAAACUUUAAUGGCCUGAAGCUGUUUUCUACGGCCGGCAUGGUACAUGGCCUACCAGCAAUCGAUCCACCAAAUCAUAUUUGUGAAGGUUGCAUACUUGGCAAGCAACCACGGCUUCCUUUUUCUAGUGAAAAGUCAUGGAGAGCAGAGGCACCAUUGCAACUUGUUCACACUGGCAUCUGCGGACCGAUUGAGCCUGUCUCUUUGGGAGGUAAUAGAUAUUUUAUUACCUUUAUUGAUGACUUCAAUAGAAAUUAUGAGUGUACCUUCUUAAAGAAAAAUCUGCCGUUUUCAUUACUUUCAAGCACUUCAAAGCUCUAGUUGAAGCGGAGAGUGGUUACAAGCUUUUAACUCUCCGAUCUGACCGAGGUAGUGAGUACACCUCAAAUAUCUUUCAAGAAUAUUGCAGGGAGUAAGGCAUAAAGAGGAAGUAUACUACUGCCUACACAUCACAGCAAAACGGCAUCGCAGAGAGAAAGAACUGAACCAUCCUUGACAUGACAAGAACCAUGCUCAAAGAAAAGGGAUUGCUGAAGCAGUUCUGGUUGGAAGCUGUGGCGUGCUCAACUUAUUUGCUCAAUCGAUGUCCGACGAAGAUAGUGAAGAACAAGACACUUAAAGAGGCAUAGAGUGGUUACAAGCCUAGUGUGACACACCUACGAAUAUUUGGGUGUGUUGCAUAUGCUCAAGUACCUGAUGUCAAAAGAAAAAAACUUGAUAAUCGCGGUGAAAAAUGUAUCUUCAUUGGAUACAGUGAGGAGUCAGAAGCAUAUAAGCUCUAUAACCUACUAACCAAGAAACUAGUAGUUAGUAGAGAUGUCGUCUUCAACGAAGGAGAAUCAUGAAACCGGAGCAAUGAAGAAACUGCCAAAGAGCAACUUAUAGUGGAUGAACCUAAUGAACCCCCACAAAAGGCUCCACCACCAGCUACACCACCAUCUCCUCAACAAGCUACACCCUCUCCUGGAAGAGGCUCUUCAUCUUCUGGGGGAGGUAGUAGCAACAGAUCUACCAUGCAUUGAGGUCCCAUCAGAAUGAGAAGCCUUAGGAAGAUUUAUGAGCAGAUAAAAGAUGACGAUGAGCUCAAUUUUUUCUGUUUAUAUGUUCACCACGAGCUUCUCACCUUCCAAGAGGCCAAGGAAGAAGAUUGUUGGAGAUCGGCAAUGGAGGAGGAGAUUCACACCAUCCAAAAGAAUAACACCUGGGAGUUGACAACACUUCCGCAAAAUCAUAAAGCGAUUGGUGUCAAGUGGGUAUACAAGAUUAAGCGAACAACAGAUGGUGGAAUUGAUCGGUACAAGACGAGGCUUGUAGCGAAAGGCUACAAACAUAAAUAUGGCAUCGAUUAUGAAGAAGUAUUUGCUCCGGUUGCUUAACUGGAUACGGUGAGAUUAUUGAUUUCCCUUGUAGCUCAUCACAUAUGGAAGAUAUACCACCUUGAUGUUAAGUCAGCAUUCCUCAUUGGCAUACUUGAGGAAGAGGUAUAUGUGCAACAACCAAAAAGUUUUCUGGUGAAAGGGCAAGAGAACAAAGUUUACCGCCUGAAGAAAGCCGUGUAUGGUUUAAAGCAAGCACCACAGGCCUGGAACGCGAUCGAUGAAUAUCUUCAUCAAAAUUGCUUCACCAGAUGUCCCUAUGAGCAUGCCGUCUACAUGAAAAGAAACCAUCAAGGCGAAUUUCUAAUAAUUUGCCUUUAUGUUGAUGACUUGCUAUACACAGGUAAUAGUGCUGAGAUGUUUGUAGAGUUCAAGAUAUCCAUGUUCAAUGAAUUUGAGAUGACGGACAAUGGGUUGAUGUCCUACUUCCUUGGCAUCGAAGUGCAGCAGCAGCAAGAUGGGAUCUUUAUAUCCCAAAAGAAGUACAUGAAGGAGAUCUUGGAGAAUUCAAUAUGAGUAACUGCAACCCAGUGAACACCCCAGUAGCCAUAAGAAUGAAGCUAUCUAGAGAAGAAAAUGGAGGUUUCAUGGACUCGACUCUUUUUAAGAGUCUAGUUGGUAGUCUGAGGUACUUGACGAUCACUAGGCCCGAUAUCGUUUAUGGAAUCGGACUUGUGAGUUGCUACAUGGAGACACCAAAGGAGUCUCAUUGGCUAGAUAUGAAAAGGAUUCUAAGAUAUAUUAAUGGCACUCUCAACCUUGGUCUUUUCUAUGCUUAUGAUGAAAUUGUACAACUAGUUAUCUAUUCAGAUAAUGAUUGGGGAGGUAACCAAGAUGAGAGAAAAAGCACCGCAGGAUAUGUUUUCUAUCUUGGGUCAACUGCAUUUUCUUGGACCUCCAAGAAGCAAAGAGUUGUGGCCUUAUCGUCAUGCGAAGCAGAAUAUGUGGCAGUUUCAUCAACCAUUUGUGAAGCAAUCUGGUUAUGGAAUUUGUUAAAAGAGUUGGAUCAUGCACAACAAGAACCGAUAGUGAUAUAUGUGGAUAACAAAUCAUCCAUAAAGCUCGCAAAAAAUCCAAUCCAACAUAGGAGGAGCAAGCACAUUGAUACUCGGUUCCAUUUUCUUAGGGACCAUAUAAAGAAGAAAACUAUGGAAUUAGAUUAUUGUCAUACAAUGGAGCAAGCAGCUGACAUUUUUACCAAGUCGUUGCCGAUUGAAUCCUUUAGAAGGCUAAUAGAAAUGCUCGGAUUGAGAACAUUUUGAUUUGAGAGGACGUGUUGGAAGUUACAACAAAUCAAAACGUUUGAUAAUGGGUAGUCAAUGUAUGGUAAUGGGAAGUCAAUGUAUGGUAAUGGGUAGUGAAUAAUUAUGUGGUAAUGGGCUGCCUAAUUAUGUGGUAAUGGGUAGUCAGUUUUUUUUCUUUUAGAAUUAAGUGGAUUUACAUUUUCGUUUUACAUUGUAAUGCCUAUAUAAGGCUGCCUAGUUUUUCAUUUUGAUAUGAGAUUAGAAAGAAAUUACAAACUAUUGUGUGCUUUGAAAAGAGAGUGGUAUAGUCCGUAGGCUUCUCUUAACACAGUAUGUAUCAGAAAGCUAACAAGUAUAUAUUACUUAGCUAUAUAGUAUGUACUGAAGAGCAUCAUUUUCAGACUGUGUAUCGAUUUACCUAGAUAUGUAUAUUGGGAUGUUAGAUGACUAUAUUGCUAGGUGUACAUCGACUAGCUAUAUACUAUAUACUGGUGAACAUCAUAUUCUGAAAACUAUAUAUCGAUUUAUCUGAAAGUAUAUAUUGGGUUGCUACUAGUUGUGUAACAGAAAGCCCAUGAGUGUGAAUCACUUGAUGAAGAAGAAAGAGAAUGCGGCGAUCUUUCUUUCCUCACGGUCUCUAUUAGCAUGUGAAUUUUUUUUUUUUAAUUAUGGAACUAAUGGACUCUGUUAGUAGAAGUUCUAUCUUUAUUGGACUUUUGGAUUUUCUCUUUAAGAUGCACGUAAGAGAAAAUAUGGAAAAAAAAAGAGUUCCGCCCCAUAUGAUGUACUAUGGUGCCUGUAUGAUUUGUGUUUAGUUUGCAUUGGAUUCUCUCUCUAAAAUUUCAAAGGGGGCCAAAAUAUAGUUAAGCAUGAAAGCAGGUUGGGAACAUUAAUAUUGAUUGUUGUCUUACAAAGGACCUGAGUUAUGUGAAUGUUUCUAGACUUGAAUGUUGAUAGUGUCUACAAUUUACAACAUGAUAUGGAGGGCCAUUUUGGGAAGAUGCAUUGCAGGACAGAUUGAUUUAAAUGCAUAAAUUAGAUGUGUGGUAAAGGACUUGACAAAGUGGCUCCAUCCAAGUGAGGCUACCACACCAAGGAGUUUGUCUCUGAAGUUCCAAGAUGUUACAAUAAUUGAAUAAUUAUAUCAUCUAGAGGAGCAAAGAAAAGAGGGCAUCACCAGCAUGUUUGAAAUGGAGGGUUAUAACUUAUGAGGUCUGAUCCAUUUGGAUUAGUUUGGGCUGCCACUAGACCAGCCUGCAGAUCAAGCACGCGCUCUGCACGUGCUAAGCCAGCAGUAGACUCCCGAUGGAAGUCUUCUUUCCUUUUCUUUCCCUGCACCAAGGAUGUUUGGUGGAAGAUGAUAAUGUAAUUCAUAACAUGUUUACAAUUUUCAAUGCUUACACCAACCCAUGUUUCAUCCAUCAAAAUCUCAGGCGCAAAACGAUGACCUCAUUAAGGCUAUCACAGUAGAGGAAAUUGAGCAAGCUCUUAGGAACAUGCAUCCAGAUAAAGCUCCGGAUAGUUUUCCUCCUUUUUUCUUUCAAAAGUUUUGGCAUCUUAUCAAAAAGAAGGUCAUCAAUGCGGUCAAAUAUUGUUUUUCAAGUUGCUAGUAUGCCAAAUUCUUGGGCCCAAAUUAAUCUAUGUCACCCUCAUCCCUCAAAAAAAUUAAUCCUGCUAAUGUGGAUGAAUGCAAUACUAUCUAUAAAAUUGUAGCAAAGAUCCUAGCCACUAGAAUCAAGCCUAUUCUUCCUUCAUCUCAUAUUUGAGGAGCAAGUGCUUUUACCAGGGGGCAUAACAUUGCAGAAAAUAUCCUGCUAGCACAAGAAAUGAUGCACUCCUUAAUGUAGGCACCAACAUCAAAAGCUUUAAUUAGUAUCAAGCUAGACAUGGAGAAAACCUUCAUUCGAAUCGGAUCCACCAGCCCUUCUUAUUUAACAUAUGGUUUUCACGGUAGAUUCAUUAAAUGGAUUAGAGCAUGUGUCACUCAAACCACUUUUUCAAUUCUUGUCAAUGGCUCAGCUUUGGCUUGGCUUUCACCUUCUUGUGGCCUUCGGUAGGGUUGCCCAUUAUCUCCUUAUAUGCUUAUAUUACGUGCUCAAUUUCUAUCCGUCUUGAUGCAUGCUGUGGUGCAAAGUAGUCUGCUCAAAGUUUGUCAACCAAGUCGGGUACAAUCUGUGCACCUGUCGUAUAUACUAUUUGCUGAUGACUCUCUACUUGUGGCCAGGGCUACUCUCAAAAAUUCUAUUUGCUUAAAAGCAAUCCUUGAUGCAUAUUGUUCUCUAUCUGGGCAGGCCAUCGAUGCUUCUAAGUCCCACAUCCGAUUCAGUCCUACUACUCCUCGGAGGAUAAAAGGUGGCAUCAGAAGGCUUUUUCAAAUGCCGGAAAAGUGGAGUGUUUGGAAGUAUUUGGGAGUUCCUGUGUCAGGUAUGAGCCUCUACGGCCAGAUGACUUCGUUUUCUUGGUGGAUAAAAUUGUCAUGCCCCCGUCUCCGCGAGGCACGUAUGGCACCCAGUGCCCACAUGAGGGAGGAACAUAGGGCUUCCCUGCCAGAUAUUGUCCGGUUUUGAGGCUCGUACGCAUGCCGCAUGCACCGCUCAGACUACUACUCAGAGGACAAAAAUAGAGACACGGAUUGCAACUAUAUUGCUUGGCUUGUAUUGAUGCUCCUUUACUUGUUAUAGCCGGAAUGGAAAAAAGAAUUUCGUGCCGGGGACAUCGGGUGGGUAGUAAGAGGUUUCACUUGAUUUCUUGGAGUCAUGUUUUUAAGCCUAAGGAAUAUUGGGUGGUCUGGGAGCCGUUUCGCUCACCCAAUGAAGGCAAGCUUCGAUUACCAAGUUAUCUGGUGUAUUGGGGAUGGUUCUAAUAUAGAAGUGUUGAAGACCCUUAGUUGUCACCUAUUCCUCUUAAUGAAUGGCUUAACUUUAUUAAUGUGGAUGCUAUAACUGAUAACAUGAUGGUGCAGUCCCUUAUGCUUCCUCCUGGCAAAUGGAAUCUUCAUAAAUUGGCCACUCUUUUUCUCCUCUGAGAUGAUGAACAAGAUCGCUAAAUCAUAUCUGCUAGGCCCCUAGGAAGCUAAAUCAUAUUUUUGUUGGAAAAAAAUGGUGCCUAGAAAUUGCUAUAUCAUUAUUUUAUAAAAAAUAAUUUACUAAAAUAAAUUUAGAGGAUUAAUAAGAGCUUGUCUGGAUCGAGGCGUAUGAUAUACACUGCCCUAAGAAUAUAAUUUGCCUCCUAUAUGCAUGUUUGCGACGAUCUCGUUCCCAAGAUACAACAGCUCAACUCAGCCCGAUUCUCCUCUAACGAGCAUGAUCGCUGGGGAGGCUUGAUCCGACUAACUACUUUAGUUGCCCAUAAAAGAUAAAAAGAUAGAAAGUAAAAAAGUUGAAGAGUAAAAGAACUUUGUAUGGAAAAAACUCUCGGAAGACAGACUACUAGUGAAAAAGAGAAAAAGAGAGAUCGGAUUAGAUUAGGAUUAAUCCUGGAUGAGUCUAUUUAUAGGCUCUAUCCGAAGACCGAAGAGAUGCGAAAUGUUUUGGAAACAUCGUAUCUUUUCGGAAGCCAACAUACUCUUCUAAAGAGUCACAACUCUUCUGAAAGAGGUGCCUCGAAAAAAAAUAUUUUAAAAUAUUGCGAACAACUAAACUUUAAAGGAUAAGAAAAAAAUAUUUUUUAAAAUUAAAACUCAAACAAUUUUUGCCAAGGAUAUGUAUAGCUUGCAGAACCAGCCAUAUCAUUCGGGUACCAUCCUGCAUAUGCAAUGGGCAUGGAAAUAGAUAAACCCAUACAGGUCGAAACAUUCUAGUGGUGGAAGCUUUUAUCGCCGUAGGUUUUAUCAUACGUGACUAUGACGGACAGCCUAAUGAAAGCCGGGGCCAAGUCCUUGCCUCUCUCUCUCUCUCUCUUCUUUUCUGUUUCUCAUGCAGCAGAAGUGGUGGCCGCAUGGUUAUCCAAUGGAUUUCAUCUCCAACCCAUUGCAGGCAUCAUGGCUUGGAAAGCUUGUCACUUCUUGACAUGCAGCUCCCCAUGUUGACAGAGAAGCUAACCAAGCAGCUGAUUUCUUGGCUAACACUGCCUUAUUGGGAGACAUUAUUUUUGACGCAGGAGGUGUAGUUCCUAUCAGACUUAGCUUCAGCCAGCUGCACCUUGCUCUGUUUUGACACUGCUGUUCUCGGUUGGAAUAUUUUGUCUCUGUAUUAUCCUUCAGAUGCAUAUCAGGUUACCAGCUGCAUUUGAAGAUCUUGGAAUUUAGCUAUCCUUUGCUUGUGUUGCCUGUAAGUUUUAUAUUGUUGGGUUUUUUUUACCCUAUCUUGUAAGAUUGUCGCUGACUCUCUACUUUUACUUCAGCAGAGAUGCCCUUCUUCUACCAAUAAAUAACUUAUUUAUUUACUCAUUUCUUUUCUUUGACAUAUAUUUUAUAUUUCUUAUAUUAUAUAUGAGUAGCAAAUAUGAAUUUUUCAACAAGGAUAUCUUUUAUCUUACAAGGUGUUGGAUUUUUGUAGGAUACCAGAUGUUGCCUCUUGAAAUAUUUUCCCCUUUGUAUAUUGAUAUAGUGUUCUCAGUAUAACUCCACAUUAUGACAUGUCAAUCCUAGGCUCUAAAAAAUAACAAGAUCCACUCGUUAUCUAGAAAAGACAUUGACAAAUACAACUUUAUUUGAUAUAUUUUUUCUAUAAGAAAACCCGUACCCUGUGGAUCAUUCGAAGUAUUACAUUUUACAUUUAUUAGAGGUCUAAUUAAGAGGAAACCAUGCAGUGAUUUCAUAACAUGAUAAAAAUGUGAAGGAUAAUUAUAAUAUGAAACAAAUUUGUCUUAAAAGUUAUGGAAGAAAAUGUUUAUUCAUAAAAAAAAUGUUGAUAAAUGUUAAUUUAGACUCACAUUUUAAGAUUUCUUAUUUGAAGCACCCAAAGUUUCCGGGUUCCAACCCUAUAGUUCCUUGGUAACUAAACUAUUAUUUUGUGACAAGACUUUUUUAAUAAUCAAAAUAUAUUUUGUAUAAUUCUAAGACAGCCUAAAGUGUUAAGAAAAAAAAAAUCAAACAAUCUCUAGACUCCCGAUUCAAAGUAUCAUGAAAUUCUAUCAAAUUGAUUUAAAGAAAUCUUAGAGUCCCAAUCUAAGAAAAUCAUUCUUUUAAAAAAAAUGUGAAUGAGGAUUACAGCUAGUCAUAAUUUACUCACGCGACGUGGGUUUCCAAUAAGAAAACGACAAUAUGGCAGAUGAUCUUGAAGAUAGGAGAGACUGAUCAAUCUUAAAGCCAUGAGUUUUUGUUUUUUUUUUUUUGAGAUACUACAAAUUUAAUCAAAAAAAUUAAUGUUGUGAUCGUUGGGGAAUCCAUGGGUCACGCAGACACUCCCAACAGAGGUAUCUAUAGACAUACUUGAAUGAAUCUUCACAUAGAUCCGAUCAAAUCUAAAUCAGGCAACAAAAUCCCACAUCAAUGAUUCAAACCAUUAGAUAUAAUCUACCACAUUUAACCAUUUAUAUAUAAAAAAUUAUAUAAUUUAAAAACUCCUAUAUCAAAUGAUAAAAGAUUGAACAAUUUAAAUAAUAUAAAAUAAUACAAGCUCUUUUUGAUCCGAGGCUGAGGAUCUCCAAAUCACAUGAUUCUCCAGCGGACUUUUGCCAACCUGGAUGGAAGCCAUCACCACCCAAGCAGUAAAACUCUUUAACCUUAAUAGCAAAAUCUAUAUCCACUUAUUUGAACCACAAUUGACAGCUCUCACAGCAUACUCGGCAGAGUCAAAAAAAUUAGCAAAAAGUUCAUGUUUGCGGCCCAGUCCACCAGUUUGCUGGCUUCUAUAGAAGUACGCACAAUUGUCCAGAUUUAUGAUUCAACCCAAGGGAGCCUAGGAGUCCCAUGGACGCGCACAUCCUCCAAGGGGCUUGCUCACUCCAUCUCAUGAUAUUGGUGAGAGUAAGGGACUCACUUCAUGACGAUUCUGUCUAGCCCCAGCUCUACCAUCAGUCAAAGUUUACCUGAAUCCAAUACCAGUUUUCAAAAUCAUGGAAUACCAAGAUAUCAUCUAGUUUACCAAAGUGAGAUCCCCCUCUUCAGUAGAAAAUCAAAACAUUGACCAAUAUAUCCUGCAGAUCAACUUGACAUUUUCUCAUAUGAUGGAAAAAAUCCAUAAAUACAAAUACGGAUCGCAUUAUUAUAUUUGAAAAAGAAGGUGUCAUAUAUGCUUACUGAAGAGGAUCGCACAUAUUUAUUGGAAAAGAUGCUACAUUGGUAAGCUUCUGUUCGUGAAGGUUGUCUUUAGAUUUUAAGUUAUUAAGCACAUAAUAUAAUACGAGAAAGGAGUGCCAAAUAUUUCACAAGUUCACAUAAAGCAAGAAAAUACCAUUCAAAGGUGCCCUUAAGUCAAAACACCAUGAUUUUUUUCCCAUCACUGCAGGUAGAUAAAAUUCCCAGGCUCAUGACAAAGUUUGAACUAGAUCUUCAACAAGAAAACUUCAACCUUGGAGGGAACCCAAGCAUACAAAAAACCAAAAGAAAUGGUGUUCUAAAAGCUUCCUCUAGAAUUUCAUGCAUGCUCUGAAAGAGAAUGAUAAUAGAGGAUUCGACCCGCCAUUCAUCACCUCCACAUGGGAUGUUAAAGAACCCAUUGAUAUUGAGAAAGACCGAAAGUCUAUUUUUUCCUCUGCUAACUCUGAUGAUCAAGUCGGAUGAAAGGAUGUACAAGUACACUGUCAAAACCCUCUAAUCAGGACAAACUCCUAGUAGGCAAGUUCCAGCCCAAUGGUCAAACUAAAAAUGUUUUGUAUCAUCUCAUGGCACAAAACUUGCUAUUCAAAAGACUUCUCCAACUUACACAUAUCUAAUACCUUCCAAAGAAGAAAAAAAGACAUGAUACUUAUAGUUUCCUUUAUGUCUCCAAACCGCAUCUGUCUCAGCCUCUCAAACUCAUAUAACCACUAUCUUCCAUAAAUAAUCUUUUUCCUGAAAAAAUAAAAUAAAAAGGGACAUCUGUUUUGCUCAAGCAAAUCUUAUUCAUGUCCUCUUUAAUCCCUUUGAAUGUCAGUUCUGAGAUGGUUCCCCAGAUUUCCCUUUUGUAUAUCUGCUUUGGAAACAACUGCAUCAAGAAGUUCAACGUUUAAAACAUGAUAGGGAUCAAAAAGGGAGGGCAUGACUGCCGCAUCUUCAACAAAGAUAUCUCUUCGGUACAUAAUAUGCAUUUUAGCAACCUUUUUAUUGCCAUUCCUGAAUAAACAUGAUGAGCAAGGGGCUUCUAGUGGCUGCAAAAAACCAAAAAAGGAUAUUAUCUGUUGGACUUCUUCACCAUUGUUGCCAUUAGACAGUUUCCAGGAAUCACUUGAACCUCGAAACAUCUAUUUCUGUUAAGACCUAAAGCAGCCUCAAAUUAAUGAAAUACGUUCAUGUUCAGAAUAAAAGUAUUUUUCGUAAUCGGAAAGAAAGUGAAUGCAAUUUGCAAAUUGAAAGUAAAAAAUCACAAAGAAAAUUCCAAUGAAGGUUCCUUUUAACCAAUCAAGGUCAAGUACUAUUAGUAUGAAUCCAUAAUUUAGCUUAGUGAAGUAUGUAAGUAAAAACAAAAUGAGGAUCAGGUACACAAAAGGUGUAGAAGUCAUACUAAUUCAGGGAAAAAUGAUGGAGAACUAACUUUGAUGGUAUGGGCUUGUAAAAUGAGAAUUUGAAAAGGCUCCAGUAAGGAGAAGUGCUUGAAUUUUUCACUUGAUCCUGUGUUGAAUGAUAUAGGAAGAGCAGAUAUUAUAAUUCAAUUUGCUUUGGGUUCAUGAGUACCAAAACCUAUUGAAUCUUGGUUUCUAUAUCUGCUUUAAAAUGUAUCCAUCAUGAUCAAUAUUGGGAACCCAGUUCACUUUGUAUUGUCCAUCAUACAAGCUCUCAAAGCAAAUGUAAGAACCAUCCUUUUUUUAUAGAUAGACAGAUUGACUCAAUCAAGGUUCGCUGUCUCGGUACAGAAACCCGUACCGGUGCUAUACUGACACAGUAUAGGUACAUUUUUUUUUGUGUACCAAAUACCGAUAUGCUAUCCAUACUGGAUAUCAGUACCGAAUCGGUACGGUAUGGUACGUUCUGUACCAUCUGGUUCGGGCCAAUACGGCAUACCAUAGACUCAAUAAUCAAUACUCUUUCUUUUAUCAAUUCUAUAAGAGCGAGAUCUUUCUGAAUUAGCAUUACAUCCAGAUGCAUCUCUCUUCUUCGCACUGAGGAUAUAGCAAUUUUUCUUGGAAUGUCUAAGCAGGAGACAUGUACCUUGAUAUUCAUCCUUAAUUUACAUUUUUUUAUCAAUUCCGAAAGAGAUAGAUCUUUCAGAAUUAGCAGUACAUUCAGAUGCAUCUCUCUUCUUCAUAUCAAGGAUAUAGCAUUUUUUUUUUGAAUUUAUCAGUCUAAGUAGGAGACAAUGCACCUUGAUAUUUUUCCUCAUUAUCUUAAUUUUUUUAUCAAUUCGGUAAGAGCUAGAUCUUUGUGAAUUAGCAUUACAUUUAGAUGCAUGGCUCCUCUUUACAUCGAGGAUCUAGCGAUUUUCCUUGGAUUGAUCAAUCUAAGUAGAAGACAAUAUACCUUGAUAUUAUUCAUCAUUAAUUUAAUAUUAUAGAUCACGAGCACUAGUAAUAUGUGACCUCAACUCAAGCAAAAUAAAAGAAAGGAAGAGCAGGGGCUUACGUUGCAUCAUUCUUCCCACUCCCUAAUCAACCGAUCGAGCACCUCCACGGCACCACCAAAUCCAUUUCCCUCCUCCUCAAUGCACUUCAAAGCAGCAUCCAGCUCCCGGGCCUCAUCGAUCCGAGCCUCAUGCAGCAUUCCUCGAUACACCGCCUCCCUCAAAUCGGUCCCCGGCGAGACCCCAUCCCCCACCAUCUCCUUGACCGCCCGCAGAGCAUCCACCAUCCUCCCGAGCCUACAAAACCCUCCGAUCGCAAUCCGGUAGACCUCGGGAUCCGGACGGCAGGGGGAGUCGGGCCGGCAGAGCCAAGCGAACACCUUGGCGGCCUCCUUGGGGCGGCGCUUCUCGAAGAAGGCGGAGAGGAGAGGGGAGCAGAAGGGAAGGGGGGAGGGGCGUCGGGGGUGGUGCUUGAGGGCGGUGAGGAGGGCCAUGGAGGGCGUGAGGUCGGGGUGGGAGGCGAGGCGGUCGGCGAGGGCGGAGGCGGGGAGGGCGGCGAGGGGAGGGCCGGCGAGGAGGCAGGCGUCGAGGAGGCGGACGGCGUCGGCGUGGCGGCCGGCGUCGCAGAGGCGGGGGACGAGCCGGUGGACCUCGGCGAGCUCCUCCUCGGUGAGGGAAGCCGAGGGCUUCGGCAGAGGAGGAGAGGAAGCGAUGGAGAGGUAGAAGGGGGAGGGUUUGGAGAAAGGGGGUCGGAGGAAGAAGGGAGGCGCCAACGCUCUUCUCAUUUUUAUUUCUUUGAUUUCAAGGAGUGGGAGUGGAGCUGAGUCAGCUGACGAAUGAAUGGACUUUCAAUUGGUUGGGGCGAGGAUCAUGGCAACCAUUGGGGCAAUACCCCAGGGAAGCUUAUGGUGAGCCGCAAAUGAGACUAUCCCGUCAGUGCUAUUCACCUCCCUGUAGAUUUGAGUGAAGAAAUUUUUUAUCUAUCAUAUAUUCGACUCGAUCUACGUAAUCUAACCCAAUUUGAUUGCCACCUUUACCAAUUGGCCAAGAGAAAAAAAAAAAAAAAAGAAUCUUCCACGUAAUCCUAUUUGUUUGGAUAUGAAUUGAAUCAUUAGAGAUUUCAGAUUUCUUUGCAUUAAGUGGAGGCUUCAGCUUAGCUAUUGCCUUGCAGCAUCAUUUUACCCCAAAAAAUAAAGAAUAUGCUUUAAGUCUCUAUUUUAUGUGUAUUGUCUGAGUUGAUCCCCAUGCAAAUGAAUUUAGGGGAGAAAAAAAGGCCUGGAAAUGAUUGAUGGCAAACUAUGGUAUUUACUCAAAUGCACUAGUGUCUGUAGGUUUGUCCUUAACAUGGCUAACACAAGAGAUUUCCAUAGUAAUCAUAUUUGGAGUCACCCAAAUGCAAAUUUCUCUAAAUUACUGAUCUCUAGCUGAAGAGCAAGUAUCCCUUUAAUUUAUUAAUAUUCACCUCUAUGCUGCAGAUGAGGAAUCUUCUGCAAACAGGUUACAUAAUGUAGCUAUGGUUAAGAGCUAGGACUCAAAUCAUAAGCUUCCUAUAUUGCUAUCUUUCUACCUUUCUUUGGUGGAUGAUUAGCCACAAGCUAGACAGCAAAUAGAUAAGAGAUGCUCGUUUCUGACAUUCCAUGGCUUUCUUAGUAUGUUUGAUCAUUACGAAACUGCUCGAAGUUUUUAAAAAAAUUUGAGAUCAAACUGCAACAAUAUCUCAUUUAUGCUUAUAGACAAUUUGAAUGCAUACAAUGGAGUGAACCAGCAAGUCACAACAAUUUAUCAACUGGGUUAAUGGCAUUAAGGGAACAGUGCAACAACAGUCUGUGACGAAGCGUGGAAACAACAAAUUCAUGACAUCAACUAUAUAAAGAUAUUGAAGUCGAAACCUUGUAUAAUUUGACUUCGUGACGAUCUAUUCAGAAUUAAAGACAUGGUGAUGCAAAAAGUUCGGCAUAACAAGGGCCGCUAGGUUGUCACUAAAUCCAAGUUGCUUGUACAGAGGUUUGUUGAUCUUUCAAAAUUUCCAAUGUUCCCCACCAAAACAGGCAAUGACUUUCGCAAGCAAACCAAAAGAAGACAACACAAUGGAUGUUCAAGCUGUCCCAGCCUCCUUCCGUUUCCGGCCCCACCUUGGUGUGGUCUCAAUAAGCUGAUGAGGAACAAGCUGCCUCUCCUGCCUUGUCAACUUCUUGAAGUUGCUGACCCUCAGCUUAGCGAUCUUUGCCUCCUCUUCAGGAGUGAUCUCCCUCACCACCACUGUCAGCCGGCAUUUGGGUCUCACCAUGAUCCCGCUCCUCCCUUUGGCAUGGUAUGACAGCCUCUUCAGAUAAACCCCUUUUCCAACAAAGGCUUCAUCUAUAGGAAGGAAAAGGAAAUUACAAAAUAAAAUUUUAAUUGAAAGGCCCGUAGCUUUCCAUUUUGGCUACUCUAAUAGAAAUUGAGCAUUGACUUACCAACAAUGAGACGAUCAGGGUCCAAUCCAUGAUUAUGCGCUGCAUUGGCACGGGCUGAGUGGAUUACCUGCAGGGGUUUAGAUGGAUAAUUAUAACAUGAAAAGAGUAAAUUCCAAGUACUAGCUAAGAUAUCGUAUGCUUUCCCAGUUCAGUGGGAGAAACAAAAUACUGUCAUAAAUACUAUAGAAAUUUGAGUCAAAAUUUUUCAUGAAUCACAUGUUAUGCAAGUACAAAGCACCUGAUAGACUGUCUUUGCAGCUCUUUUUACAGUUACUUGCAGCUGCAAAAGGGCAUCUUCGACCUGCAUUCCACGAACCAGUCUGGCCACCAGAUUGACCUUCUUGGGACUCUGAUACCACCAUGCAUAAAAAUAUAUUUACAGAUGGGAAUACAUAGAACAUCAAUUUCCGAGGGAAGAACAGGAUAGGCAUGUAAUCUCAACCUAUAGAACUCACGACCAUCUCACUACUGUCUAUGAUCUACAAGAAAACUUCACCUUUUAAUAUAAACAUGCAUCAAGAAAGAAUCGGAAAGUAACAAACUGGCUGUACAAGCAGGUUCAAAAUGAUCUUAUACUGGCUGCUUUACAGCAGCCUCCUGAGUCGAUGGCAACACUAAAUGAUUGAUGCCAAAUUCCUGACCAAGGCAGCUCUGGGGAAAAGAGGAACCUACCAAGAAACCUAGGAGGCCAACUGGCAAGUACGAAUGCCUACCUUAUUGGUUCUAUAAUUUAAGAUCAUGCAACCAUGAGACUGGCUUUCUAAGGUUCCCCUAAACUGGAAAUUGUCUAGAUCUUUUUCCCUCAAAAGCAAGGUCUUAUGUAGGAAAGGACAUCUUACAGUUGAGGUGCAAAUUACAAACUGAUGAGACGACUAAAACACAACUCCCAAUGAACAAGUUCCAAGAAAUCUACAACAAAAAUGAUACAUGACAACAAUUGAUAUCAUCCAAAACUGCGGCCAUAGAAUAGGACUUGACAUGGUGCAUAUCAAGGCAUGCAUAGUGAGACAAGCAAUUGAUGUUACGCAAAACUACAGCAUAAAAUAGGAACUAAUAUGGCAUGCAUCAAUACUCAACAUUUAAAGGGUGUUAUAUAAUGACAAUUCAAAACAACUGGCUUCUAAAAACAGUUAUCCUUUAUGUACAGCCCUGAAAUAACUCUAAGUUAGCCUCCUGCUUCAAUGAGUAAGCUAUACAUGACUGAGUAAAAAUCAUAUUGCUAUAUAAUCCUUUCAGAACGGUUAUUCCUAACCGUUAACAUAAUCUAAGGAAUUAUGCUAACUGUUCUGACAGUAUGAAAAGGGUUAAUAUUGGAAGCAAAAAGUAACAUCUAUUACUAACCAUUAACAUGAGUUAACGGUUAUUAACUUAUGCUAAUGAGUAUCACAAAAUAUUCUAAAUUAAGCCAAAUAAUUGCCUUAACCACCAUUAUUGUUCUAGUGAAACUAUAUGAUUACAAACGAGUCCUUUAAAAGAAGCAGUGGUUCAAUUAGAUGUUACUUUUUGCUUCCAAUAUUACAUACUGUCAGAGAGGUUAGUAUAAUUCCUUAGAUUAUGUUAACGGUUUGUAAUAGCCGUUCUAAAGAAUAAUGCCCCUAAUAUGACACAUUCUAUCCAAUAUUAACUUAUGACAAUACUUUUUGCUUGCCAUAAUAUGCUUCUAAUGCAUAGUCUCCUUGUAUUGCUUUUUUUUAAACUAGAUGUUACUGUGCUUUUGAGUACGAUUUCAUCCUACAUAAUACAUUUCUUUUCAGAGAAGAUUCCACCCCGAAUAAUUGAGGUGAUGCAUACCCACACUGUUUAGUGGACCAAUAUAAGUAACAUUUAAUUGAACCAUUGCUCCUUUUAAAGGACUCGUUUGUAAUCAUAUAGUUUUCACUAGAAAAAUAAUGGUGGUUAAGGCAAUUGCUCAGCCCCAAGCAUUAAUUUGUAUCUAUUUAAGUCCUCUAAAGGACUUAGAUACAAAUAGAUAAUGUGACCUUUUGGCAUCUCACUUUCUUAAAGGACCGUGGUAGCAAAUACUUAAAUCCACAGUAUUUCUUUGAAACAUUUGAAGGACCGUGGUAGCAAAUACUUAAAUCCACAGUAGACUAGUUUGGACCAAGGUUUGAAAGAAAUGCUGUUUCCAGACUAUGCAACCUUUUGGAGGCCUCUCACUUUGUUAUCCCUCAAUGUAUAUGUAAUGCGAAAAUGUGGACAGGUUCUGCAUUCGAGAUGUUGUCAGAAACUCCGAAGUACUCUGCAUGAGGUUGAUUUUAAAUCCCAGUGAUUUGAAUUCGUAUAGAGUCCCAACUCCAUAGUGAUUUGUAUUAAAUACAUACAAAUUAAUGCUUGGGGCUGAGCAAUUGCCUUAACCACCAUUAUUUUUCUAGUGAAAACUAUAUGAUUACAAAUGAGUCUUUUAAAAGAAAAAGUAGUUCAAGUAGAUGUUACUUUUAUUGGUCCACUAAACAGUGUGGGUAUACAUUGCCCCUAUUAUUCAGGGUGGAAUCUUCUCUGAAAAGAAAUGUACUAUAUAGGGCGAAAUCGUACUCAAAAGCACAGUAACGGCUAGUUUAAAAAAAAACAACACAAGGAGACUGUAUUAGAAGCAUAUUAUGGCAAGCAAAAAGUAUUUUGUCAUAAGUUAAUAUUGGAUAGUAUGUGUCAUAUUAGGGGCAUUAUUCUUUAGAAUGGCUAUUACUAACCGUUAACAUAAUCUAAGGAAUAUACUAACCAUUCUAACAGUAUGGAAAGGGUUAAUAUUGGAAGCAAAAAGUAACAUUUCAUUGAACCACUACUCCUUUCAAAGGACUCAUUCAACAAUCUGCUAGCAUGAAAACCACGAGAGAGAGAGAGAGAGAGAGAGAGAGAGAGAGAGAGAGAGAGAGAGAGAGAGAGAGAGAGAGAGNNNNNNNNNNNNNNNNNNNNAGAGAGAGAGAGAACAGGGUAAAAGGUGAAGAUCAGGCUGAAGAAAGUGAAAGAGAGUGAUUAUUUGGUCCUAUCUUUGAAAAAUAACUUGGAACACAAAACUUUAUGUUACGAAAAUUGUCUAUAGCUUACAACUUUAAAGACCACCGAAACUCUAAUGGUAAAGCAUUAUACUUGCAAAUACUAAGAAGACGGGGAAGAAAGAAGACGAAAGAUAUGAUGAGACAGAAAGGGAAGAAAUGGAAGAAGAGGAGAAAUACCAUGAUAAUAGUAAAGAAGCCUACAGAUUUUGAGUGGGCGUGGUUUUUAACAAGUCUUAUGUUAGGGCUACUUUAGGUUAUGCAAGCUUUGAUAGGAACUCUUCUGAUUGAGAAUGCUUUCUAGGUCAUAUGAGUAGAGCAUUCAAAUGAUUAGUUUAAAAAGCUGGAAUUCAAAUUAAAGAGUAAUUUUAGAAUUUUUGCUUCAACUAAAAUCUGGUCUUAAGGUGCUGCCUCCCAUAAAAUAAAAAAUAAUAAAAAAGAACUUAUUGCUACAAACCCUUCCAUCUUAGACCCUAAAACUUUGAUACCGUAACCUUCUUAACCAUCCUAAAGCCCUAAAAUCUCAAGAAAUAUUCAGUUUUCUUUCCAAGUUAGAGCAAAUCAAGAAGAAUUCUAUCUAAUAUAUGAGUGGGUGUGGGUGACACACGCAGAGAUAGAUAGAUGGACAGAGAGAUGAAGUCUCACUGUUUCAAAAGCCUAAAAAGCAUGAUCCACCCCCAGAUUACAUCUGAAACCAUCAAUAAUAGUUUUCAAAGCAACCCUUGCUAUUCAAAGUAUAAUUCCAAUUUUGGUGAUUAUUAUAAGCAUCAUCAUGAGAGCAUCUUAAGGGUGCAAGCGAUCAUCCAUUGUAUAUGACUGAGCAAAAAUUUCGUACAAGAGCACAAUUUAUUUUUAAAUAUUUUUACUGCAUUCAUCAGGAUUCUAACAAUAUGCUGUUAAGACGAUGUCCACUAAAUAUGGAACUGAUCUUUAACAGGCAACGAAAAUCGUUCCACCACAACAUGGAGAGGAACAAAAAACAUGCAAAAGAUCAAAGAGUUAAAAUAAUUUUAUUCAACAAUUAAUGGAACGAGAGAAGGAAUUAUAUUGUUAAUAUGAGGAUAUUCCUACUAGAUCCUCAUCAAUUUGACAGGCAUUUACUUUAUAUGUUAUACACAAUGAAGUGAAAACAAAUAAUCUCAGUUGGAUAGUUGAAAAUAUCAACAAUUGUGUAAAUCAUAGGGUACCCUUUCAAAAUUUUGGAUGCUCAAGCUUUUGCAGUACAAAGACCUAAGUUGUUUACUGCACCCAAGUAAUGUAUUAAAUUCGAUCUUGGCCAAGUUUGUAUCCUAAGAUUGACUUAUUCCUUGCAAUCAAGUAAUGAUUUCCACUCCAAACUUUACUCAUGGACACGAAAAGAAAUGGCCAGAACACCAUUAAGAACAUCUAGAAUCUAAAGAGACUUUAUGUCUUUUCUUCACACUUGUAUAUGAAAGCUGUUAAUUCUAACCUAGCAAUUACUGAUAAUUUUAUCAAAUUUUAUUUACUUAAAUAAUAUGUUUAGCUCAUUAUUCAUUAUAUGCAUACAUCAAUACCUAUUUGCACAUACAUAGAUCAGAUAUAGAUGUGUCCACAUGACCGAUUUAGAGGAUUCACAUAUUGGAUUCUUCUAGACACUUGAACAUUUGACACCCAUGUCACAAGUCCAAGUAACAUUGCCCAAGAGCAGUUUUAGGGGUUUUUAGUGUUUAUUUUUCAAGAGUUGUGCAAUUUAACACUAAUGGACUUUUUGGCCUGGAGAAAAAAAGAUUUAAUUGCUGCAUUCUAACUUGACUUUACAUCACUUUGAUUUGAAACAAAGUAUGAUGCAUUUGAGGUUCAUUACUUGUGCCAAUUAUCCUAAUUAAUUGUUUGUACUAUAAUUAUGUCGCUUUGAGGUUGAAGAAAAUGUCAGAUGAUGCAAUCUCUUUCAGUUGAAGAACUAAUAUCAUAGGUUGAUGUGUCUUGGCUUGUAUUAUAAUUUCAUGUCAAUGCAUCAGAAACCAUCAAGAAAGGGGGUUGGGAGUAUUACACGUGUUUGAUCAAGUACAAGUACAAAUGGUCCUCACACUUGUAGCCUGCAGGGAUAUGAUCGAUGGACAGUUGUAUUGCUUGAGUUCGCUUUUCUUGCUUAAGAUGUGGAUUGGUGAGAUGGUAUGAAGUGUCAAGGAGUGUCAUGAAAUGUCCCAAGUGUCCAAGUUUGUAACACGUCAAAAUCCAAAAUUUGGAGUGUCCGGGCAACACUGCUCUUGGGUGGUAAGAAAGUUAGGUCCCAUCCUCUCUAAAAGUAGAUACAAAGCCAAGGCCUCAUGUAGAUGCUCUAACUAAAACAAGUUAAAGUAGCAUACUGCAAAUUCCAUGCUUUCAGCAAUAAAUGGCUAAGGGAUCAUGAUGAGAGUGGAUAAGACCAAAUUCAAUGUUAUGUUAGCACUGAUUGCACCUGUCUGAUAUCCUUCUUAACAGCCUGUACCCUCAAGGGUUUAGAAGCCACAGUCUUUUUUUCUGUUUUCCCACCAUCUCCCAUGACUGGUGUCAGAGGGGAGGAAAUAGGCACCAUGUUUGCAUAUACUUCUGCCAACAAAUUCCUUGAACUGAAUAUUCCCUGCAAAAGCAGAACAUGAGGCCAAACUUACAGGAUUAAUAAUUAUAUUCCACAAAAAAAUGAUUUCUGAAAAUGAAUGAGGGCACAAUUACUGAGAGCGCCUGGCAAGGCAACUGAAUCGCAGGAAGAAAAUAAAAUCAAACGCACUUUAUGCGAUAUGCAGGAUUCUAUGAUAGCAGUACCAUCAUAAGAAGGAGACACAAAGGAAAAAGACCAACAUUGCCAUUGCAGAUUAGUAUGAAAAAGGCAUAAGCAAUGAGUCUGUACUCAAAAUUAGGAAACAUCAGGUAUCAUGGCUGAUCUGCUAAUGCAUCCAAAGAGAUGAUGCACAAACUGAAUAAAUCCAACAUGGUUCUUGACUCUAAGUUAGAGUGGAAGGGCCAUAACCCAUGAGCCAUCCUCGAAAUCAAGAAACAUGCAGUGUAAUUUAUAAUGCCUCUAAAGAGACGAUUGUGCAGACUGAAGGAAACCUAUGCAUAAGUAGGAAAGCAUAUUUGUAUAAUAAUUAAACACCCAAAAUGUCAAAAUGCCUGUGCAAAAAUUUUAUGGUGUUCACUGGACGUGACAGAUGAAAAAUAACCAGGUCUUCUAUUUGCCAAUACCCAUGUAUAUGCAUCAAACUACCCCAACUAUUUGGAAAAUGAAAGCAGCACGUGAAUUGUUUUGCACAAAGAGUAAUUAAAGGUGUAGGACAAUUACUGAGUGUUGCAGGUAUUGAUAGAAAGGUGUGGUUCUUCUGGUAGAACGAUCAGAUAAUCUCCACGGAUGUUUACAGUGGCCUGCAAUGAUUUUGUAUGUCAUUUUUGGUAGAAUUAAUUCUCGUCAGAAUGGAAUGCAUCAAACAGAAAGUAGCUGCACUAAGAAACUAAUUUUAAAAGCAGAUAAAAAAUAAAAUAGGAAACAGAACAAUACUAUAAAAAAUCCUAAAAAGUACAUCAGGCUAGUUGAAGAAAGUGUAGAGCUAUGCAUCAGUGUGUCGGUGCAUGACAGAAAGAUGUAGAUAGAUAGGAAAAUGCAUACAUCUGAGACUAACUACUAGAACAGUGACUUAAAUGUGGAAAGUAAAAUGGGCCAUACCUAGAUACUGCUAAAAGUGAAUGAAAAUUUGUCAGAUUAAGAAAAAUGCUGCCCUCAAUGUUAAUGCUCCAGACUUCAGAACUGAGAGGUUCUUAGAAAGUUGAAAUUGGCUGUCACAAACUCACAGUCUACCAAGGUUAAUAUAUGUAUUACUCCAGACUUUACUUAAAGCUUCACCCUUAGGAUGUGCAAUGGCAAAAAAUUACACUAACAAAAUCAUUUUCUAUAGCAGGUAGCUUUGAAGACACCUUCUUUUACUAAUAUUUCUUGAAAAAGAACAAAAAAUGACAGGUCAAAAUCAUUCUAAUAUAAAUUUUAGGAGUACAGCAUGAAAAGAGAUGAUUUAUCAGUCAAGGUCAGAGGUCCGAAGCAUUUUGUAUAUUGCAGCAUAAUUUGCUUGGUUAAAAGUUAGCUUGAAUUUCUAACCAAAAAAAGUUAGUUCAAAUUAUGAUAAAUUAUAAUCAUAACCAUCAAAUAUUGUCUUUGAACCUAUAAAAUAAAGAAAGUUGUAAAGAGCAGUUAAAAUAUAAUGCUAUGCAGAAUAUUGAACAUUACCUGGUAAUGGAGAAGGCUUUGGACAGGUGCUAUAUGGAAAGGCACAUGAUCCACGAUUUUGCUCCACCCUGGUGGCAGCAUGGCGAAGGACAGAGCGCAGAUACCUUUGCCAUCCCACCAUGACUACAAAACCUGGGCAGAUUUGUCCAAUCAAUUUUCUAUAAGAUUUGCUCGCUCAAUUGUAACAGUAUACAAGAUACAAGAAAAGAACCAAUUGUAGCAGCCUAUUUCACAUGUAUCUUAAUACCAAACCUGUAUUUGAAAACAAUCACAUGUUCAUCCCCCAAAGACAUCAUAUGACUUUAGGAGAUCACAUUGGAUGUUAAUAUUCAAAAUAAGAUCAAAUAUGAUCAUUCAAACACUUUGGAGACUACAAAUGCUGGAAUGUGAAGGGCAUAUUGCUUUUACUACAUAGCCAUCCAUACCUAAGCCCUCAAGAUAGUAAUAGCAUUAAUAAGCAUGCAUAAUUUUCAUAAGUUAUUUGUACUUUAUGGUGGUGAUGCAACUUUAUACUUCAAAUAAUUCACAACACGACAUUAUACAUCAAAUUCAAAAACCUGUUACCUCAACAGGUAAAAAUAAAAUGCAUUCGGAUUUGUGUAAACCAAAGUUACUUGUUUUAGUGGUAGCAGUAGAUCUGUUAAGAUUCAUUCACAAAAAGACAACAUCUUAUGGGGGGGGGAAAUCAAAAACUCAUUCCCAAACAUUAAAACAUCACUAAGAAUGCAUUUAAAUUUGCAUAACUAAAGGUGUUUUACAUGAACUCGUUCACAUGAGAAAAUCCUUUAAGAAAUCAAUCCAAUCGAUGCUGAUAUCUUACUGAAAUUACUUCGAAAUUUUCACAAACUAAAGCAACUGAGUCGACAGUCGCAGCCCAAAGCACCUCGAGAUGUCAUAAGCUCCUCCCUCCCUCUACAUCAUUACAAGUGCCAGGAAAAAGAAAAUGUAAAGCUGCUAUCUUUAUGAGUCCAAUAUACCGGAUCAUUUUUCCACCAACAACCUCAACAGAGGAUACUUCGAUCUCAAAAUCCCAAAAGAAAACAAGGAGAAGGAGAAAAACUAUAAUAAAAAAAAAAAAUAGUGUGCGCGUGACCCCGGCAAGGAGACAGAAAGAUAAGGAGAGAGAGGGGGGAGGAGAGAGAGAGAGAGAGAACCACUGGGUGGCGAGCGGAUGACGCGCGGCGGCGGUCCCCAGGACGGGCGGCGGCGGGUUUAGAAGACGAGCCAGAGUUCUGUCCUCGGGUUGAGACCUAGGGGCGCGGUCAAGGAUGUUGGUAUCGCGCCGCUUAGUCCGGGUUAACCCCAACCCAGUCCACCCGAGUCAACCCGUCAUUUCGUCGAGUUGCGCCCCUCUCUCAGCUGGGUUGGGCUUUGACCCAAACUGAAGCCCAGUCAAUCCUCAUACUUGUGGGCCAAUAGAAGCCACACUCUUCCAAAAGCCUACGGAUAUCGUGGAGCAGUGGUCUUCCGCCAGCAACACAAUUCCGACCCUGAACCCACUUUAUCACUGUAGCUGUCACGCCCCCGGCCCGAGAUCGCGAGCCGGGGGUCCGAGCCAACCGUCGCACACCCGUAGGAAACUCUUCCCACGAGCAUGCAAGGCAUCUUAACCAAAUCUCAAAAAUGUAACUAAAUAAUUCAACUGAAAUAAAGGCAAUCUUAUUCCAUUGACUGACAUAAAUUAUAAAGUCUCACAGUUCUAAAUACACAGCGAAACAAUAAAGAUAAAACAUCAAUUUAAAUAAAACCUAAUAUAAGAUAACUUGUGCCAUAAUUCUUUUAUUCGCUCUUCCAUAUUGUAAAACUCCGGAUCGAGCUAAUUUUUCAAAUCUGUAAAAAUAGUAAGAAAUCGUAUAAUGAGCUAGACAACCCAGUAAGUAAUAAAUACUUUAACUAGACAAUUCAUAUAAAAACAUAAAAUCUAAAUACAAAUUACGAUGAAUCAGAAUAAAGACAUAAUCAACUUCUUUUCAAACACAAA
rnacentral:lncRNA from 1 species